UGGCACUGACAUUUUGGAAUAAGACACUUUUAAAAUACUAGUAGAGAGCUAGCUCCUUGGGGCUUGGCGGGUGUCACUUCUUGAGGAAAAUGGAGAUGGAUGAACACUUUAUCAUGUCUGGGAACGUUGAGGAAGAGGGGACAGAAAGACUGUAAGCAG